rnacentral:rRNA from 1 species
UCGAACGGGUAACGGGGUCCUUCGGGAUGCCGACGAGUGGCGAACGGGUGAGUAAUAUAUCGGAACGUGCCCAGUAGUGGGGGAUAACUGCUCGAAAGAGCAGCUAAUACCGCAUACGACCUGAGGGUGAAAGGGGGGGAUCGCAAGACCUCUCGCUAUUGGAGCGGCCGAUAUCAGAUUAGCUAGUUGGUGGGGUAAAGGCCUACCAAGGCAACGAUCUGUAGUUGGUCUGAGAGGACGACCAGCCACACUGGGACUGAGACACGGCCCAGACUCCUACGGGAGGCAGCAGUGGGGAAUUUUGGACAAUGGGCGCAAGCCUGAUCCAGCAAUGCCGCGUGCAGGAAGAAGGCCUUCGGGUUGUAAACUGCUUUUGUCAGGGAAGAAAUCUUCUGGGCUAAUACCCCGGGAGGAUGACGGUACCUGAAGAAUAAGCACCGGCUAACUACGUGCCAGCAGCCGCGGUAAU